rnacentral:rRNA from 1 species
AUGCAAUACUUGGUUGCAAGUGUCGAGGGAUCUGUUGGAGGUGAUCAAAGUAGAGAUGCUUAUUGGGGGCGAAUGAAAGAACACUUUGAUGCUCACAACGUGAGUGGAAUUGACCGCUCCGAGAGAUCACUUCGGUCCCGAUGGUCGACAAUCAACUCGGAUUGUCAAAAGUGGGCGGCCGCACAAAAUGCAGUUGACAAGAUUAACCCAAGUGGCACAAAUGAGGAUGAUAGAGUAAGUGAAGAGACGAGGACAACCAAGAAGGGGAAGAUCAAGAAAGGAAGGAUCUUUACCUUGCCUCAUUGCUAUGAAGUGUUAAAGGAUGAUGAGAAGUGGAAGAAGCGUGAAGAUUUGGAUGAUUUGCAUUUGAGCAACAAACGCAAGCAACAAUUGAGUUGA